rnacentral:rRNA from 1 species
AUGGAGCCCGCGGCCACAGAUCCGACCGGAGACGCCUUGGCGGCGGCGGCGGCGGCAUCGUCGCUCGUCUUCCUGGGCACUGGCUGCUCCGGCGCGCUCCCGGACGCGCGGUGCCUCAUCCAGCCGUCCGCGCCGCCGUGCACCGUCUGCUCCCAGGCCCUCUCCCUCCCGCCGGACCGGAACCCCAACUACAGAUGCAACACGUCCCUCUUGAUAGACUAUUGCCACGACAAUGACACGCAUAAGUACAUUCUAAUUGCUGUCGGCAAGACCUUUAGAGAACAAGUUCUCCGGUGGUUUGUUCACCACAAAGUUCCUUCCGUUGACUCGAUUAUUCUGACUCAUGACCAUGCGGAUGCUGUCUUAGGUCUUGUCGAUGUUUGGGUGGUACAGUCAAGUAACCAUAGAAAUGAUGUUGAUGAUCAAGUCGCAGUUUUCCUCACCCAGUUCACGAUGGACAGUGUUGCAGCAAGAUUCCCAUACUUCGUGAAACGAGAGCUUGAGGAAGGCGAUGAAACCGCUCGACUCGACUGGACCAUAAUUGAGAGUGAUGUCAACAAACCAUUUGUAUCAUCAGGACUAGAAUUUGUGCCAUUGCCAGUCAUGCACGGAGAGGGUUAUGUUUGUUUAGGCUUUCUUUUUGGGAGGAAAGCAAGAGUGGCAUAUUUAUCUGAUGUCUCAAGAAUUCUCCCUAGAACUGAGCACAUCUUGUCAACUUGGUGUUUAAGCAAUCCUACUCUUCAUGAACCGAACGUAAUAUUCAAGCAAAGCUACUCUUAUGCUAUCAAGAGGAUAUGCCUUAAGAAAGCCCUGCUGAUUGGAAUGAACCAUGAGUUUGAACAUCACAGAGAAAACCGCAUGCUGACGGAAUGGUCACACAGAGAAGGGAUUCCGGUACAACUAGCCCACGACGGCCUGCGGAUCUUCAUCGAUCUGUAA